GUCAGGUUGCCAGAGUGGUUAAUGGGUAUGACUCGAACAGUCUUGUGAAAGAACAAUUAGUGAUCAUAUGGUUUCGGCCGCGCAGGUUCAAAUCCUGCACCUGACG